CACUAACCGAGGAUUUGUACGAGAGAAAUGAAAAGUAGGACGAGAAUCGUAAAAACAGAGCGUGCCAUCUUGUAUCUCGCCUUGUACGUGUCUACAUCGAGAUUUAAAACUGUCUGAAUGUUCUGAGGAUUUCUCGGUGCUUUCGCUCUUCAGCAAGAUGGCAACGACAUAAAAGGAUCGAAAAGUCUUAUCAUUUAAGUUCAAUUGACAUAGAAAAGAGCGUCAACUGUGCAACUUUAAUUAACUGUAACGAACGAAGAAAGCACUUCUCGAUAACGCUAUACAGAGAUUAAUUGAUGUAAUCCAUAUACGAGAAAAUCUAUUACUAUACAAGGACAGAACUUAAAAUAGAACAUAUCAUUAACGUUAAGAUAAUGUAAAUUUAUAUGUCAUACUGAUAAGUUUGAGAUGAUAACGUCUAAUAAUAUGUUAAUGAUAGUACUA